rnacentral:rRNA from 1 species
CUAAUACAUGCAAGUCGAGCGAGCUUGCCUAGAUGAAUUUGGUGCUUGCACCAGAUGAAACUAGAUACAAGCGAGCGGCGGACGGGUGAGUAACACGUGGGUAACCUGCCCAAGAGACUGGGAUAACACCUGGAAACAGAUGCUAAUACCGGAUAACAACACUAGACGCAUGUCUAGAGUUUAAAAGAUGGUUCUGCUAUCACUCUUGGAUGGACCUGCGGUGCAUUAGCUAGUUGGUAAGGUAACGGCUUACCAAGGCAAUGAUGCAUAGCCGAGUUGAGAGACUGAUCGGCCACAUUGGGACUGAGACACGGCCCAAACUCCUACGGGAGGCAGCAGUAGGGAAUCUUCCACAAUGGACGCAAGUCUGAUGGAGCAACGCCGCGUGAGUGAAG